AGCAGCCGCGGUAAUUCCAGCUCCAAUAGCGUAUAUUAAAGUUGUUGCAGUUAAAAAGCUCGUAGUUGAACCUUGGGCCUGACCGAUCUGUCCUCCUAAUCGAGCGCACGGAUUCGGUUGGGCCUUUCCUUCUGGGGAGCCCUAUGCCCUUCACUGGGCGUAGUGGGGAACCAGGACUUUUACCUUGAAAAAAUUAGAGUGUUCAAAGCAGGCAUUUGCUCGAAUACAUUAGCAUGGAAUAAUAGAAUAGGACAUCGGUUCUAUUUUGUUGGUUUCUAGGACCGCUGUAAUGAUUAAUAGGGAUAGUCGGGGGCGUCAGUAUUCAAUUGUCAGAGGUGAAAUUCUUGGAUUUAUUGAAGACUAACUAUUGCGAAAGCAUUCGCCAAGGAUGUUUUCAUUAAUCAGUGAACGAAAGUUAGGGGAUCGAAGACGAUCAGAUACCGUCGUAGUCUUAACCAUAAACCAUGGCGACUAGGAAUCGGACGGUGGUUUUUUAUGCCCCG
rnacentral:rRNA from 1 species